rnacentral:lncRNA from 1 species
CGCACAUGGCCACCCUGAACAGAAUCAGAGUUUGUCCGUAGUAAAGGAAGAGUGAUAAGGCUGUUGAGUUGGUUGUGAUCAGGGUCACAGCAGCCCGGAGGGCUGAAGGCAGUUUCACUCCAGGAGGCAAGGCCUGGAGGAGAGUGGAAGGGAGUUACAACACUGCUCUCCUUCAUCGAAUGCUAGUGGGGUCUAACUGGCCUCCUUAAGCCCUUGCCCUCUUCCAGGGAGGGAGACACCGGAGUCCCCUCUUCGCAGAUGGAGAAAGAAGUCUCAGACAAGUUAAGGACCUCCUGCCACGGAGGCAAUUUCCGGAAACACUUCACUUAUUCAAAUAAGCAGUAGAAGGACUAUCCCGGAGAGUAGCUGAUGGCCCACACCGUCCCCAACACAGCCCGCCACCUCUGGCUAGCUGCUGGGGAAAGGGCUGUGUGGGUUGUUUCCCAGUCCCACCAACGACAGCACUAUCACUCAGAUAAGGGUACUAUCUGCCUCUGCACCACAAGCUCCCUGAGAAGAGGAAAAUGGAUCUGAGCUAAGGAUGAGCGGAUUAGAAGGUUGGUGCAAGUCGAGACACAGCGGUUUGAUUUUUAACACAUGGCCCAGUUUCCAGAGGCAAAUUCGU